rnacentral:lncRNA from 1 species
UUGUGAUUUCUACUAAUUGAAAAAAAAAGUGUUGGUUGAAAUGCUAGAGUUUAAAGAAUAAAAUUAAGCACAUUGUUAUAGCAGAUGUUAGUGGUCAAAUUUUCACUAAGAAGUGUAGAAAUAAAUCUACUUUUAAAAACAUUUCUCAAAUAAUUCAAAAUCCUGGUAAUUGUCUGAGUGUUAUUUUAGAAGAUGGAAAAUGUGAAACAUUUUGCAUUCAAUGUUUAUUUGCAGGAAUCUCACAUAAUGAAUCGUGGUUUGUUUUGCUGAAUUGUCUUUUUGUUCAGACUGUUUACAGCCUUGAACUUUUCUUGUAACAUCUCAUUGCUUUAAAUUUUGUCACAGUACUAUUAUAUGAAUAAAACAAACUUUAACCUGCUAUAGGUAACAUUUAUGUUUAUAUCAGAUGUGUGCUUGUGAGUAGGUGUCAUGGAGGCAAAAUAGAAACGGUCCUGUUGUUAGUGAGCUAGAAUUAUUUCAUGAUUGGAUUUCACAACUAGGCAGGUGAAUGGAAAACACCCAUCAUUUUUUCUUAUAUUCCAUAGAAAAGAAGAGUACGACGUAAAUGAAACUUAUAGAAAAGAAGACUACAAUGUAAAUGAACCUUAGAAAACUUGGAAAAUCCAUCUGACAUUGAUUAAAAACAAAAUUAACAAUGGUCAGAUAAUCCUGCAUUGGAACGUUCUUUCUUUUAAAAAAAAAAGUAUUAUGUUACUGAUUUAUGUUUAAUGUGAUUUGGUUAUGUGUCUAUUUGUGAACCUUGGAGGCCAGCAGAGGGCACAGGAUCCCUUGAACUUGGACUUACAGAUGGUUGUGAGCUAAGAUGUUGAUGCUGAGAAUUGAAUCCAGGUCUGUUGGGAGAGCAGUCAGUGCCUUUAACCACGAGGCCAUCUUGUGAGCCACUUAAUGGUCUUUCUUAUUGACUUAUCCUCUUGAAGUUCUGUAUUUUAUUGCUCUGGGAAAUCCUACAGUAUUUUUAGUUAAUGAGUCCAUGCGUAUAAAAGGCAUUAUUAGAACAAAUUAUAGGGAAUGAUCUCUGCUGUAUUUUCUGAGUUCUAAAAUUAUGUCUGAAUGGAAGCCAACAGUGCACUCAAUAGUAGGAAUCACUGUAUCCUUUCUACACUACAGUUUACCUUACCAAUACUGAGAUGCACUUACUAAAUGUUAAAAUACACUAAUUGCCCAUUUUUUUCUUCUUAAAUAUGGUGCCUUAGUAUACUAUUGAAAAAAUGAUUCUGUGAUCAUACAGAUAACUAAUAACAAGCCCUUACCAUCUCUCUCUCUCUUUUAAUGAAUUAGAUCAUUCAAAACACAGAGGAUCAUCUGGUAAGAAACUGAAGCAGCCUUAAAGUACUAGUGUGCUUCAGGCAACAGUAAAGUAAAAGAUUACAGAAUCGAUGUAAUAGGUUUCAUUGCUACCUGGAUUGUGUUUUUCUACACCACUGUUCUGAGGAUUUCAAAUAUUUAGGUCUAGGUAUUAGGAAAAGAGAAAGGAAUAAAAAUCUGAGCUACACAUACUCCAACCCACCCCAAAAAGAGAUGACAGGGUCUUCUUAUAGAGCUAGUUCAUAAAACAGUUCACAGGCAAUUUUUGAAAAGUAGGUGAUAAAAAUAGAAACUGACAUAUGAGUACAUUCUCAUUUAAAGGCUGAUAAAUGAUAUCAAGAUACCAAGCUGCAAAUGUAAAAUUAAUGUACAACAAAGGCUACGAUUAUUUUAAAGAGCAUCUGUUUCUUAUUUCAGAAUUUAUGUUGUCUUGUAUGACAUCUAAGAAGAUGCCUCAAAUGAGAAAAUGAAACAUAGUACUCAGAAGUAGAUAAUAGAUAGUACUGAACACUUUUAUAUUUAUUUUUAGUCUUUUGGUAUGGAUAUUUUAGUGAGGAUGCAGUAAGAGAAAUAUGAAUUAUAUACAAUGCUAUUGUCUUCUUUAAAAUCUCUAGUGUAUAACUACUAUAUGGUAAGUGACAGUGAUAGAUAAUAAUACAUAUACAAAUUAUUUCUAACUUUUUGUAGUUAUUAAAUAUCAUUAAGAGCAGCAGCUUUGGCAAUAAGCAAGGCUAAAGAAAAGUGUUACAUUCCACCAGCUUGUCUUCUAAAUACUUUAAAGAAUACUAACCUAUCUAAUUCUUGUAACUUUAUUUCUCAUUUUUACAGUUAAGAAAACUAAGAUGAUUCGUGUUAAGUUCCUUGCUCAUAGACAUUUGUACAGAGGUGAAGCUUAAAUACCAUGUUUGUGUUGGAGAGUAGACAGCUUACUACUCUGCUCUAUUAUGUUCUUUCUACUUAUUUUGACUUUGUAUUUCUUAACUGAAUAAUGGAGGUUUUAAUUCUUCAAUUUAUAUCAAAGUUUUUUUUUCUGCCACCGUGUGUGUGAUAUUUUUAAGGCUAAAAUCGGUGAUAUCAUCUCUAAACAAGAGCCAGAAUCUAAUAUUUACCAAAAUAAAAAAGAUAAAACCUUAUCUAAUUAAUGCCCAAAUCAGAAUACACACCCACGUGCCUUUUCAGAUUCAGAGAGACACUAAAGAAAGUAUUUAAGCCUUUCUGUGUGGAUUAAUAUUUUACUGGUAACAGUCUUUUUAUUAUCCCACACCCCGUUUUUGGAAGGCACACUUAGAUUUAUGUACCUGGAUUGAGGCAACAUUAAUAUUGAAUAAAUUAGAUUCUGCUAUUUUAAUUUUUUAAAUAAGUAAUUGCUUCAGUAAAUUGUGAAUGUUGUGAAUGUUAUGCAAAUUUUCAAUAUCAUGGCUUAGAACAUAAAAGUAAAACCCAAGAAGGAUGAUUACAGAGUCUCAUGUUAUAUUUACAAGUGUGUGUGUGUGUGUGUGUGUGUGUGUGUGUGUGUGUGUGUGCCUGUGUGUCUGUGUGUCUGUGUGUCUGUGUGUUUGAGUGAUGGGUAUUCAACCAAGAAUAAGUACAUUCUAGGCAAGCACAUUAUCACUAAUCCACAGCUCCAAGCUGUCUGGGUCUUUCCAAUGAAGAAAAAACUAUUUGGGAAAUACUCAUUUUGUUAUUGUAUUGCAUUUGAAGCAAGAGUCUAUCUUGAUGGCUGGGAUCUGACAGUUGUUUUUGCUUUAUGCUGUGUUUGAUGAGUAAGAGAAUUUGUUGAAUUCCUAAUCAGGCAAAAAAAGAGUAUAGAGUUGAUUGAUGAUAACAGGUGUAUUAUUGUGGAUUCGUGAUAACGUAUAUAUUGUUUUUGAUUGAUUUUAGUGUGUGUAUUGUUGUUGAUUCAUGAUAACUUGUGUGUUUUUGUGUCCAUAGAUGUGAGCCUUUCACUUUUCUAGCAUGUUAAAAACAGAAAAAUCAAGAAAUAGCCUGACUUUGAAAUCCUGGUUGUUUCCUUUCUGGUGUGAUAUGAGAAAACACAUUUUAUUAUAUUGAAAGGUCAUUGGGAAAAACUACUCUAAAUGAGUAUUUCCUGUAUGAUCUAGAAGGCUAAAGUCAGUGAUAUCAUCGCUAAACAAGAGCCAGAAUCUAAUAUUUACUG